rnacentral:lncRNA from 1 species
UCCAGGCUCCAGGCGAGAGCAGGCGGCCUGUCGUGGAGGCGCGGCCUGCGUCGCGGCCAGGCGCGGGGACCGACGGUUUCGCUUAUCACGUGCGUCACUAACUCACGAGGGUAUGGAUCAUACUUAACUUUAUGCAUUUCUUACGUGCACACAUUGCAAGCAUCGUCAUCCUUGCAUCAUGAUGUAAAUAUUGCAUCAUGGUAAUUGCAUUGUGUCAUAUGCACCAUUUCGGUCGUGCAUGGAAUCCUCCAUUCUCGUGUUGCAUCAUCAUUGCAAUCAUAUAUCUCAACAGUGCAUCACGUUCAUGGUUAUAUAUCGAGCAUUGCACUCUGAGUUGGAGCAUUUUGUCAUUAUCUCUUGAUUGCAUCGGUAUAAGUAGGCAUGUUUUGCAAUCAACAUCAUCCAAAUUAUUCAGGUAAUAAACUCUGAGCAGGAAUGUUUCAAACAUCACUUAUCAAUCUCUUGUACUAUCCUCACUUGCUAUCCAUAAGUUUUGUGAUGAAUGUCGCCGACAUUUAUCGUCCUCAUGUCAUAAUCUUAGCUCUAUGAGAACUUGAUCACCUUUCUUUCUCUUCUCUCGUCAAACUCAUUCAUGUACAAUCUAUCUAUGCUCUCGUCAUACUUAUCUCGUCAUACUCCAACGGCUUUUAUCAUCAACCUCAAGUUUCUCUGGUGUGAUUGCUUUUUGCCACUUCUGAUGGAUGAUUUGCUUCUCUACCAUUAAGAGUCUUUCGUCCUGAAUCUUGGGACGAGAGUCUUUUUAGGGGGGAAGGCUGUGACAGUUCAAUUACUUGUAAGCUAGACAUAUUAUUUGUUAGUGUGAAGUAUGUGCUUAUUAGUGUAAAGCUUGUGUGUGUUUGUGUGAAGCUUUUAAAAAUUGAAAGUGCAAGUAAAAAGGGUAUUUUUGUAAUUACAGAAAAACCUAGGGUUGUUUUUGCAAAAUGUAUUUGGAUAAGGGGUAACUUCAAAAUAAGUGAAGGGUGGUUUUGCAAACAUGUUUUUCUUACUUUAUCCCCUAUAAAAAAAUAUAUUUAUCUAAAAGUUGCAUUAGAAAUGUAUGUGUUGAAUUGUGUAAAAAUUUGGGUAAAGUUGUGAAAAUAAGGGUAUUUAUGCAAAAGUACAAGUCCUUUUAUACAAGUAGUUGAUUUACAAAAGUAACUCCCGAAGUUACUCAAGGCUAAAGUGUAAAAGGUGCAAGUCAUCAUGACAUAUCUAUCCAAUCAUUAUGACGUGUCUAUCCCGUCAUCAUGACGUGUCAUAAAUGCUUGCAUUUAGGUCCUAAAUGUUAUGAAAUUACACUCUUUAGGACAAAAGUAAUUCAAAUCCAACCUUUGUUCAAAAUUUAGCGUGUAAAGAUAUAAACUUUGAGUUUUUGAAUUUGAGUCCUAAAGCAAUGUUGUAGAGUUUGAAAAACUCUCCAACUUUCGUUUUGGGCAUUUCUUCAUUAGGGUUUUAGAUUAAUGAGAAAUUAUGCUUUACAGAGAGGUCCCUGUAAUUUUCUAAAUUUGCGCAUAAGUCCUUGUGAAGUUCUAUUUCUCCCUCUCCUCUGUUUUUCCUCUCUCUGUUCUUCUUCUAUCUGGCGCUAUCCUCUCCUCCACCGGCGGCGCAUCUUCUAGGGCUUCCCCUGCCUCCCUCCCUCUGCUGCUUUGAGCCGGCACGGGAGCGAGCGACGCUGGCGAGCGCGGUGCAGGGCGGCUCGGCGCAGCUCCAGGCGGCGCAGGGCGUGGGCGCGCGCGGCUCAGGCGGCCCUGAGCGGCGGGCGGCUGCGGCUCGGAGCGGGCGCGCUGGUGCGAGGCCGGCGGCGCAGCGCAGGCGCGGAGCGGGCGCUGGGGCGACUGCGGCAUGUAGGCGCGCGCGGGUGGAGCAGCAGCGCGGGCAGGCGCGAGCUGGCGGCUCCAGGCAGCGGCACGGCUGGCGGUGGCAGCAAGGCGGUCGGGCGGCGCAAGCGCAGGCGCACAAGCGGCGCCGAGCUGGGGCGAGUGGUUGGCGGCCAGGUGCGCGAGAGGGCGCGCGGGAGGCGUGGCACAAACGCGUGAGUGGCACGCGGGCCAGGCGGCGCUGGCGGCGUGGAGCAGGCUCGGGACCGGCGGGGCGCGCAACACGGCCGUGUCCAAGCGGCUCCUGAGGUCAUGCGCGAGAUGCGGGAACGCGGUGGCAUCGACCCUUACAAGUACACCCACGCCACGGUGAUCUCUGGGUGGUGCAAGAUUGGCCGUAUCGAGGACGCAGCUAAGGUGUUCGACGAAAUGCUGGCCGCAGGAGAAGUGAAGCCAACUGCGGUGAUGUACAACGUAUUGAUCGGAGGCCGUCGAGGAGAAGGCAACGGAAGGCACGGCUCUGAUGCAGACAAACCACGGCCCUCGCGGAGGCGGAGGGGCGGUUAUGGCGUGACGAGCCGGGAAGAAAGGCGGCGAAGCGAAGGCGGCGACUGGGCACGAUGAGCUCGGAGGAGCCACGGUGCAGCCAGAUACAGCGAACUUCCUUCAUCUAUGCGAAGGUCGGGACAGGAGCAACGCGGCGCGGGUUUGACGCGCAGCGCAAGAUCGACGGCGGUGGUAGGCCGGCCCUGAUGGCGUCGCAGCAGGUGGAAUGGACGGCGGAGUUACAGGACUCGGAGGUCCGGACGGAUUUGGACUAGCGCAUCCGCAGAUGCGAGCGGGAGUGUUCUGCUGGUGGCCGGCUUGGCUCGAUUCCGCAGGCGUGUGCGCGUGCAGGGCAACCGACCACGCGCAUGCAGGCUGGGGGCCGUUGGUGCGGGAGCAGAGCAGAAGCGGGGCGCAGGAGAUGCGACCAGGCGCGGUGGUCCUGCAGGAGGCUACGCGGGUGUGCCGACCAUGUUUCUGCAGCACGCGCGUGAGCAGAGGAGGCUUAGCCCGUGAACAGGAGGACCCUAAGGUUCGCAAAGGAGUCGGCAUAGCGAACCCAUCCGGCCCCAUCGUUUCCUCCCAUAAGUCCACAACGUCCAGUAGCUCCUAUUCCUCGCCGAUUGUUCGAGCAAGACCACAACACCUCAAGAAAGCUCGUGAACCCCCCAUCGAACCUCUUCGAUCCCUGUAUACCAGAACAUCGUUGCUGUGGCAAAGCCGACUAUCAUCACCACGGAUCACCGUGAGGAAUACCUCUCCGGUUAUCCUCCACCCACUACAAUUCCCUGGCAAGCUUCUUCGUCCUUCCCACACCGGAACCUCGCCACUGUCGAGCACUUCUCAUUGCCGAUCCUGUUCACCGCGGGAAUUCACUUUCUACCUGUUCUCAUCCACAACUAAGGUUACCCCAAGGUUUGCCCUGAUCCACUGAAUCUUCCUAAUACCGGCGACCCCUUUGCCGGAACAUCGUCGUUAUCUUCCUAUUCUAGCCUUCUUUAUUUCAAAUCAGUGAACUUCUACAUUUCAUAGAAUCCGUAAGAAGUUCAUAAAAAUGCAAAAUCAGUUUUGUUUGAAUCUUUCGGUCAAAAGCUACAAGUUUUAUGUUGUGAUUUUGAGUGGAAAGUCUUUGAUUUGUGGUCUAGGUUAAAAUUUGGGAAUGAGUGCUUUAUUUGUACCUUAUGUUAUAUGCAUGUGUUGUAGUUGAAUAUAGAUCAUAGGAUGUGUGUCUCAAGUAGAGAUGUGUGAUAUUUAGUUAAUUCUUUCACACGAGUACUCAUGUCCCUGCCAUCAAGACGUUAUCCUUGUCUUGAUUGCAGUCUCCUUAAGGCACUUUUCGUAUAGGGAUCCUUGUUAGUUCAUGUGUAUCUGCUGCUUAGCUAAUAAAUCUCUGCAUUUAUACUUCAGCGUCGGCUAUCAGCUUAGCCGCUAAGCAUCCGUUUCCUUUGAGUCUAUGAUGUUUCUGUGUAACAGCUAUCGGCCGAUGCAUUUCUUUUGGUAUGCUUCUACCAUCGGCUGAUUAGCCAAUCCGGUUGUUACCUUUCUAAUAUCGGCUACUGCUGAUACAAUUCUUUUUGUUCUGUCCUACAUCGGCUGCACAUAGUCAAUGUAUCGGAGAUGCACACACGAUCUUAAGAUUCUUGCUAUCGGCCGAUCCAAGCCGAUUCUAGUUGUUUUCCAUAUCGGUCAAAUAUGGUCGAUCAAUCCUUAGUUUUCCCAUCUUUAUCCGCACACUUCUAUCAGCCGAUUUAUCAGCUAGGAAAUCGGCUAUAUAUCUAUCGGUCAUAUACCCUUAACCCCACUCCAAUCGGCUGCACAUCUGUAGAACAUGUGCCAUCGGCACAAACCCAACAGCCACAUCCUCUUCAGUCUAGUUCCGCACUUGUGGUUCCAUCAGCCUAGACCAAGUUUAGUGUUUUGUUCCACCUAGUUCUUGUAACAGGUCUAACUUAGAUAACCCCAUCGACUGUACGUCACUCCAUUGUUGUGCUGACGUAAUCAAGCCGAUACAACCACACCUAGUUACCUAGGAUAAUAUUUAAGCACAUCUCAGUUAAGACACAGCUGCUUUAGGAAACACCCCUCUGCUAAAGUAAUCGAUGCUUUCAUCGAUCAAUUAGGAACCCGAUGCACCUAUCAAUCGGCUACACAGGCCAAAAUACACAACCCUAGAUCAGUAAGAUAGCACAGUAAACACGCCUCUGUUAGGCACGACCAAAGCACAUCAAUCGGCUAAACCUGAUGCAUCCUCAUCGGUUAAGGCCAAGACCAAUGCACCAACCAAUCGGAUAGACCACAAACAUGCUUAUAAUCCAAUCGGCAAGAUCCUUCCUUUUUCUGUACUUGAAGUAUUGUACCUUUAACAUUCCUCUCUAUAUCAGCCGAUUUAACCUCAAAUGAACCAAAAUCGGCUAAUCUUUUCUACUCAUAUACAGAGAUUGCUCAUGCCGAUUUCUUUUCCGAAAUGAAAUCAGCAGAUUUCCUAAAACUGUAUAGAUAGCUCCCUUCUUUACCAAUCCUAUCGACUAAACCCCUGUUGUUUCCAAUCAACUCCGUUGUAGUCUUCCACAAAUAGCCCAUCUUAAUUAGUUGUCCAACUAAAGCUCCACCCAAGUUAGUUUCUGAUCUUUUUGAUUGUUAUGUGAGUAGUAUGUUAAAUGAGUGUUAGAUUGCAACUUUAUUGUGAAGUAAGAUAGUUUUAUAUGCACACUUUGAAUGUAAUGUUGCAUUGCAUGUAGAUACGACUACUUCCGCAGACGGUACCUACAAGAUCUUCUAGGAGUCUGCAGAGGAUAUUUCUGAAGAUCAAAUGAACGUCACCAAGGGAUUAUCGGAAGCCCGAACCAAAGUUCGGAAGAUAAUAAUACUAACAUCCCUGACUUCAGCCCCACCAAUAAAGGCAAGCCCCGGUGCAUAACCCAGUAUUUAAAUUUUACUACAAUUCGUUACUUAUAUAUUAUAUCUUGCAUUAAGUCUAGGAGUUGAAAUGGAACCCUAGAUGCAUUGAUCCUAGGAACCAAUGUAUUGCACCUGCGUCCAUAUCGGCUAGAUGCUCUGCUAAUGGGACCGGUAGAAGUCGGGUGAUUUCCUGUCACUCGUGCGAUAUAGGAGUUGUAAUGUUUACAUUCCUGUAAUCACUAUAAGGAUGACGGCCGGGAUUUAUGUGAAGUAUCAUGAAUGAGGUGAUGCCCCAUCUGUGUUGUUGAACUUGAUAAGGUCGCAGUGUGUGGUAGUGCGGGUUAAGCGUUUGAAUGUACUAGCCACAUGCUGCGAAAUAUGGUAAGCGGUAAGCCUAGUAACCAAUCGGCCCGAGGAGUGGACAUACGUCCCACCACAUGUAUUUGGUUCUUCUGGUUACUUGAUUCGAUGUGUGGGAAUACGUGUUGCAGGGCAACCAGGAGUAUGGUCAUGUAGUCGUGCUACAGACAUACAUCCUACACACAUUGGGUGUGCGUAUGGUCCUGCAGUCACUUGUGGUGGAUCUGAUCCACGAGUCGGAAUGAAAGGCAAACGGUUGCUCAGAACAAUCGUUGGAUGUUCCAAGCGUGUGAGUUAGGUUUACCUUGCAAGGUUGAAAUUCGAUUCAGAAUCGUCCGUUUCUCGCAGAGAUUGAGACUGCUUGAUCCCUUUACCACAUAGAGUAACAAGAGCAAUGUUAUGGUUAUCAAAGAUGAUGUUUGGCUAAAGUUUCUACCAUGCCUGAAUAGCUAUAGGUGCCUACCUAGAAUGAAUAAUCACAUAGAACUUGAAAGCUAAAUGUUGACAUUAACAAUCUACUCUUUGAUGCUUUUCAGCUGAAAACUCUACCCAAAGCUAAAAGCCUUCAUAAGUCUAGUUACAUGGCUAUGUAUACCAUGAACGGGUAAGCCUUGCUGAGUAUUAGUAUACUCAGUCUUGCUAGUUAUAUGUUUUUCAGGUAAAGUCUUUGAAGACCCUACUCUUCCCUGUCUCGGUCUUGUGCUCUUCCAGAUGGUUGGUCCGUGGAAUGGGAUCCGUCCCCGGCCAAAACUGAUGAUACCGAGUGAUGUCGUGCCCGGGCUUAGCAUGACAUCUGUCUUGAUGACGUGUUGUAAAUCGUUACGUAUGUUUUCCGCUGCCAAAAACCAUAAUUUUAACAGUUUGUAAUAAUUUUUCUAAAUUUAAUACUUCGUACUGCUGUUGGAAACUCUUGUAAUGUAAUUCCCUGUGAUGUAAAAUAUGAUGGUGACUG